CGUCUCUCAUUGCUUGUGGUCCCACUAGGCUGCAAGCUCCCGCGGCAGGGGCGGUGUGGCACCGCGGGUCCUGCGGGCCUGGAAGAGCGCUCAGGGAAAAGGAAGGGCUCCAGAAGUUUGUGUGGAAUGACUGGAAGAAUUAGGAUGGGUGCUUGGCAUCAAGUUUAAGACACAGUAUCUGACUUGAGGUGACUCAGAGCCUGAUGACAGAGGCCGAAAGUACAGAGAGCUUUUAUAGAAGAAAGAGGAAGUACGGUGAAAGAGAAGCCAAGCAAUCAAGAAAAGUGGCAGAUGAACAAAUAAGACCUGUGACAAUGAAAUUACUGUCCUCAGGUCUCACAGAAAGAAUGCCACAUCUCAAAAGCAAGGCUUCUUCUCUCCAGUAUGUAGGAGCUUCCUGGGACCCUUGUAUGCCUGUGAAUUCCCCGCUUCUCUACAAACUGCCGUAAGUGAGUUUAUUCAAACAGCAAAUAUGCAGACCUUUCCUUACAUGUUUUGGGGGAUGAAAAAUGCAAACUAGGUGCUCGAAGUCCUCACCUGGAUUUCGGGCCCCAGGGGAGAGGAGAUACAUGAAUGCACUGCUGGCCAGUUAGCCAUGAGCUCUGUAACAACAGCGGGAAGACCAAGUCCACGCAGGGCCUAUGUGAGUGGCUCUGCAGGGUGCCCUGUCAGAGAUGUGGGUGGAGACACAGGGGGAGGCCCCUCGUGGCAGGUUGUGGAGUCUAAACUUGAUCUAUGGUUUAGAAAGUCAUGCAUAGUUUUAAACAAAUGUUGUACAGGAGUAGUUUGGAAUUUUAGCAAAAUAAUGUGGCCCAUCAUCCACUGGCGAAAGCCCCUGGGGAGCCUGUGGGUAGGCCACUACAACAGACUAGCAAUGGCUGGAAUGCAGAGGAAAGAAUUUUGGUGGAGAAGUAGGAGAGAAAAGUGCCAGGCCAGGUGACUGGCCACAUAGGCUUAGGGAGGAGGAGGAGAAGUCAAGGACUAUUCUAGUUUGUAGCUAAAUUUAUACUUAGGGUCUGCCAAGGGCCGCAGGGCCAGUUUCACAAGGAAGCCGCCUCAGAACAGGGAAGAUGAUACGUUCCUUCUGAGGUUAGUGGGACCUCCCAAAUGAAUGUGUCACCAAGGACACCAAGGAUGUCGUGAAAACAGGCAGGAGCCUCAGAAUUAGCAGUUAAUUCUAGAGUGAGACAUAAGGAGCCAUAAGCAUCCCUAUUCCAGGCAGUUCCAUGUGAAUGGAUCAAAUUACUAAGGAUGUAAAGUGAAGACACAAGGAAAGAAAUUCAACUAGUUCUGGGUACUUUCCAAUAUUUGAAGGUACUAAGAAGAAGGAAGAGGAGGUACCUGUGACGCCUCUGUGGGAAAUGGUUGAUCUGGGAGGUUUGUAUGAGGAGGCAGGGAGGGCAUGAGGCAGGAGAGGUGGCUGGGGGGCAGGUGUUUCUGGAGUGGGUGGGCCCAGCGGUGGGG